rnacentral:ncRNA from 1 species
GAUAUAAUAAUGUAGGUAAGGGAUAUCGGCAAAUUAGAUCUUUAGAAAGGAUUGGCUCUAAGAACUGAGUCGGAUCGGACGUGCUGUUACGUGAAGUAUGCUAUGGUUGAAUCGAAGCAGUGCAAAACUAUUUAUAAACAGAGGGUUCCCGUGGACGUUGACUGUCUCUGAUUUCUGCCCAGCGCUCUGAAUGUAAAAGUGAAGAAAUUCAACGAAGCGCGGGUAAACGACGGGAGUAACUAUGACUCUCUUAAGGUAGCAAAAUGCCUCGUCAUCUAACUAAUGACGCGCAUGAAUGGAUUAACGAGAUUCGCACUGUCCCUAUCUACUAUCUGGCGAAACCACAGCCAAGGGAACGGGCUUGGCGAAUACAGCGGGGAAAGAAGACCCUGUUGAGCUUAACUCUAGUCUGACUCUGUGAAGAGUCAUGAGAGGUGUAGCAUAAGUGGGAGGUUAUGAAAAAAAAAAUUUUUUUUUCUUAGCCGGCGGUGAAAUAUACCAUUACUUUCAACGAUUCUUUACUUAUUCGGUAAGACGAGAAUUGAGCUAUAUUCAUCGCCUCUCUAAUAUCUAAGAUCGCUCAUUUCAAUUGUAAAAUGUUUUAAAUUUGCAGCGCUAGAAAUUGAUUUAAAUAAUUUCGGGUGAAAGUUUUUUACUAUUUUCCUAAUUUUUUCAUUGAUCAAAAUUCCUAAUUUUAAUCAAUGUAAAUAAAACAAAAGUCUUUUCGUCUUAUGUACAAGAAGCUGCCUCUUUUUAUAAAUUCAUUGCGGGUUGAAGAAAUGCUUGAUUUUAAAUCUUUGGUCCAAUCUUAUACAGAAUGACCAGGCAAAAGACGAAAUUACUGAUAACAGUAGCUAGAAAUGCAUCCUUCUGGUUGCCCUAAUCUUU